rnacentral:tRNA from 1 species
GUUGUCGUGGCCGAGUGGUUAAGGCGAUAAACUAGAAAUCUUUUGGGAUCUUCCCGCGCAGGUGCGAAUCCUGCCGACAACG